rnacentral:lncRNA from 1 species
UGGAUAAGGAAGAUGAAGACUUUCAGGAAUCUAAUAAAAUGCACUCCAUGAAUGGAUUCAUGUAUGGGAAUCAGCCGGGUCUCACUAUGUGCAAAGGAGAUUCGGUCGUGUGGUACUUAUUCAGCGCCGGAAAUGAGGCCGAUGUACAUGGAAUAUACUUUUCAGGAAACACAUAUCUGUGGAGAGGAGAACGGAGAGACACAGCAAACCUCUUCCCUCAAACAAGUCUUACGCUCCACAUGUGGCCUGACACAGAGGGGACUUUUAAUGUUGAAUGCCUUACAACUGAUCAUUACACAGGCGGCAUGAAGCAAAAAUAUACUGUGAACCAAUGCAGGCGGCAGUCUGAGGAUUCCACCUUCUACCUGGGAGAGAGGACAUACUAUAUCGCAGCAGUGGAGGUGGAAUGGGAUUAUUCCCCACAAAGGGAGUGGGAAAAGGAGCUGCAUCAUUUACAAGAGCAGAAGUAAUUCUCCAGACUCUGAUUCCCAAUUUCAGCAGUAAUUUUAGGUUUCCUUUUCAGAGAAGUAAGAAUUACACCA